rnacentral:rRNA from 1 species
GUAAGGAAUAUUGGACAAUGGCCGCAAGGCUGAUCCAGCCAUGCCGCGUGCAGGAAGAAGGACCUAUGGUUUGUAAACUGCUUUUGUACGGGAGAAAACCCCCCUACGUGUAGGGGGCUGAUAGUACCGUAAGAAUAAGCAUCGGCUAACUUCGUGCCAGCAGCCGCGGUAAGACGAAGGAUGCAAGCGUUAUCCGGAUUCAUUGGGUUUAAAGGGAGCGUAGGCGGAUUUGUAAGUCAGUGGUGAAAUCUCUGGGCUCAACCCAGAAACUGCCAUUGAUACUGCAGAUCUAGAGUACAGUUGCCGUUGGCGGAAUAUGACAUGUAGUGGUGAAAUACUUAGAUAUGUCAUAGAACACCGAUUGCGAAGGCAGCUAACGAAACUGUAACUGACGCUGAGGCUCGAAAGUGCGGGGAUCAAACAGGAUUAGAUACCCCAGUAGUCC